UUUCAGCAUCAGUGACAGUCACUUCAUCAGUGAGCUGUGGCUCACAAAAGCUUAUGCUCAAAUAAAUUUGUUAGUCUCUAAGGUGCCACAAGUCCUCCUGUUCUUACUUAAUAACAAAGAUGGUGAAAAAACAAAAGUUUCACACAACAGAAUUGUAAUUUGUAGAAUUUAGGCAGCUAAAAUAAAUAUGUUCCAUGGUUUGAAUUAUCCAGUGUAAAAUUACAGAUGCAUCACCUUCUCUAAUUGCGUAUCACCUUCUGUAAGCAUUCAAAACCAAGCAUUUCCCCCCCAGUAAAGACAUGGCUCCUGUAAAUGAAGCAGGUCGAGUGCCCCUGUGCCAGAACAGGUGCUCCCAGUUUGGCCAAUUCAAGAGGAUGGGGCAGCACCUGGGGCUGUAAUAAAAAUCAGGGAGACUCUAAGAUAGGGAGACCUGGAGAGUCAGGGCUGUCUGAGGGUCAAGUCAGGAAAGAGGCAGGUGAGAGCUGCCUGGGAGCAAAUGGUUGGCAGGUGAGAGCUGCCAGAGCAGGAGACAGCAUGUGGCUCCUGGGAGAAAGCAGGAGAGCAGCAAUGGGGAUUUCCAGCUGACCUCCCCAAUCCAGGGCCAGAGGGGUGGAGAGCAGCAGAGGGGCUUAUCUGCUGCCACCUCCACACUGGAGAGGUGGACCCUGAUGAACGUGAGAGCCAGGGGAGUGAGGGAUGCUUCCCUGGUAAGAUGAUCUCCAAGCAUUGAGAUGGGGGAGGGGGUUUCCCCACUGGGAAAAGUGGUGUUUUAAGGACUACAUAAACUGGCUGUGAGAAAUGGCCUUUUGUUGGAGAUUAUUUGAACUAUGUUUUGGGACUAAACCAGCCCCAAGGAGGAGUAUUAAGCAAGAGAGCCUGAAGUGGAAUCACCGGGAACUCAAAGUGGAAUCUGAUACAACUGAGCCUGCUCUACCACAGCCACCCAUAGGAGGGCGCUCAAGGCAGGGCUACCCUAUGACAAAUGUAUAUUUGGCUUACAGAAAGAGAGAAUUUAACCUAAAAAAAUGCAACUAAUCCCCCAGUCCUUUAUACCAGGACUACAAAGUAAAUUAUCUUCUAUUUCUUUUCAGGCAAUGACUAUGUAAUUUGUAUCAAUGUAGUACAUUUUAAUGUUUAAAAUUAGACUGCAAUAAUUCAGAAGUGUUCUGAAUUAUUGCAGUCUAACCUAGCUAGCACAAAAUAGUGUACAAUGAAGUUUGGUACCGUGAACAAUAUUUUUAAUAUAAAUAAAAUUUUAAAUCAGAGCACUGCUUCUGAAGGGUAAACAAAGUUCAUCUGUGAUGUAUAUAAGAUUUUAUAUAUGAAGUGCAAAAAAGAAGGGUCUCUUCCCAGAAUUUUACAUACUGAGAAACUAAACAAAACAUUCCUCAGAACAAAAUGUUUCACAACCGUUAUAAUUUAUCAGUCCACACAUCACACUGUUUUUUAAAGCCUACAGGCUGUUUGAUCCUAUGGAAGAACGGUUUUGUGGUUAAGACAGUUUAAUGGAAGUCAAGAGAACUAGAGCAAUUCCCAGCUUUGCCACACCUCCUGCAUGACCACGGGCAUGGCACUUAAGAUACAUCUCGCUGCAGCCAAGGGUAUAGAUGUACCCAGGCUUGCUUUACCCCAGCUAGCUUGCUAAAAAGAGCGGUGAGGUGCUGGCUUCAGCUUGCUUGACCCUCUCCGGAUAUGUACUUGUUUAUGCAGCUUGCGCCGCCAUAUCCUCACUGCUAUUUUCAGGGAGCCAGCUGGAUUAAAGCCAGCGCAGGUAUGCCUACAUGAGCUGCAAAUCACACCCCUGGCUAUAGUACAAGCGUACCCUUCAUCUUCCUAUGGCUCUGUUCUCCAUCUGUUAGGGGUAUUGUGAGGAUAGCAGAUUCAUCAGUUUGAGGCACUCAGACACCACAGUGAUGGGGUGUGUGCAAGUACCUAGAGAGACAGAAUACUUCAGGGCCUAAUCCUACAAUGUGCUAAACAUCCUUGACUCUCAUUUUUUGUCCUUUACCUAGGUUGGUACAUCUAUGCCCCUCCAGCCCACCAUUAUAGUAUGUGAAUGCCUUAGACACAUGAAUGGAUUUAUUCUCAGAGCACCUCUAGUGAAGUAGGGAACUAUUACUCAAGUCAGUGGGUCCUCAGUAUCUUGAAGGAUCAGGCCCUAAACGCAGCCAGGACUGAGGCUUUGUCUACACUAGCACUUUUGUCAGUCAUUGGUAUGAAAAAACUCCCCCAAUGGUAUAAAUUUGGUAUAAAUUUCACCAACAAAAGUGCCGCUGUGGACAAUGUUAUAGCGGCAGGAGACGCUCUCGUGCCAAUAUAGCUGCCGCUGCUUGUUGGAGGUGGUUUAAUUAUGCCGGUGGGAGAACGCUCUUCUGCUGGCAUAGAACGGCUACACAGGAGACCUUACAGUGGCACAGCUGCAGCGGUACAGCUAUGUCGCUGUAAAGUUCAUAGUGCAGACAUAGCCAAGUCAAAGGCCAACUAGGUGAACUGAUUUUGGAGGGUUUUACGCAUUUCUCUCUUCAAAUAUUUAUUUUGCUCCUCCUCUCCUUUUCUUGGCAUUGCCAAGUAUACCAGAUACCACGUAUACUCAAAAGAAAAGUUGAAGGGCCAAGGCCUGACCUUGAAAAGACAUAUGCAAACACCAUUUUAGAACCUAAGACAAAAUGCUAAAUAGUCAGCUACUGCAUAGUGGAUUUAGAGGAACUCUUUGGAAUAUUAAAUAUAAAACUCAUAACACUAAAAACAUUUAAAAAUGCAGUUCAGUCACACAUGACCUGUAUACUAUUCUGUAAUGACAAGAUUCACAAACAAAAGCCUUCUACUGAUUAUGACUAUUAAGACUAAACUAAAUUUUGUAAAUAAUGUAUAUUGUAGUUAUGCCAAUUAACUAUACAGCUGUACCAGAGCACACUAGGCCUGGACAAUAUAUCUCAGAGAAUGUGCACUACUAGGAAAAAUUAUGGAAACAAGUUGAACUUCAAAAAGAAAAACAAAAUGAUCCAACAUAUGCUCAUACAGUUAGAGUAGCUUGCCUGGCAAGAAAACAAUAUGUAUUACGCCCUGAAUUAUGUAAAGUCCUGAAAAACAAGGCAGGAAUCUAAGUAUGUUGUACAGGAACUGUGAAAGUCAAGAGACUAAAAAAUGUAAACAAGAUGGACUCUGUGUGAGGCACCAUGUCCAGAAUAAUAUCAGCAUUCUUCAAGGUAUCUCCAGAGCAGAGACAAGUCAACAAGACAAAACAAGGAUCACUCACAAAAUAUUUGUAUAUUUCCAUACGUAUGUGUUUAAUAAGCACUUAUCUUCACUAUUUACCUUGUCAAAGCAGAUCAAACAAUCAAUAUAUAAACACUAUAUUCUGUGAAUCUAGUUUGGUAUAAUGCAUGGAAGCAUUUCUAUAUUUUUCCCCUCAGUGCAAUAUUUUUUCUACAUAUGGUAUACUAGAAUUUACUGAAGUCUUUGAGAAACUUGCAAAGGCAGAGAGUCUGCCUUCACUGUUAGAAAGACUUAGGACCAAAUAUCAUUAGCAAAAAGCACAUUUCAAGAGCAUUUUAAUGUAUACAAUCAGGGUGUAGGUGUAUAGGUUUUAUUUUAAAGAAACAGUCUUUAUUUAAAGUACUUUGCUUUGUGGAUCUUAUAAAUAUUACCAUAUUUUUUCACAAAUGUAAAAUAUAUUAUAGCUGUUUAGAUUUAAAAGGCAAUUUCCACUGGGUGAUAAAUAUUUUGAGAAAAAUAUUAACCUUCAAGAAAGAGGCAGCUCCGUGAGAACUAGUUUUUAAACAUUCAGUUUUGUCAGUCCAUCUCCUUUCGGCCCAAACUGACAUUUUUCACUCAGACUUCCUUUGAUGGCAAUAAAGCUACUCCACGAGCCGUGGUUAACACCUUGGCGAUUACAGAUACUAUAACUGGCUGCUCCUCAUGCUUUCUAACACCCCAAGAGUGCAGGUAUCAAUAACCACAAUUGUGCAUUAAAAUAAAAUUUACACAUAUCAAAAUAUUGUUAAUAGAUUUCCCUAUCUUAAAAUGGCUUACAUUAACAGUACUUUGAAUUAUUUCAGCUGCGGGUCGAUUAGGUUUAAGCAAUUCACCACUUCAAGAGUGCAGCUCACAAACAACACAACCCAUUGAGGGGUAGCGAUAGUUGAUAGAUUCAUAGUGCAGAU